GCGCUCCGUGUGAGGCUGAUGGAGCGACUGCCUUUGCUGGCCGGAGCGGCUGAAAGCAAAAGUCUGUCGUCCGUCCCAUGGCAGCAGCAGCAGCAGUCAGGAAAGAAGCGAAGGGGCCCCCCUGCCGUCGUUUUUCGUUGGAUGAGGAGAAUCUUUUUUGGCGCAGGUCAACCGCCUCACUCGGAAAUGCUCUGCUCCGAGACUCGUUCUCUUAUUUGGAGGUUGGCUGCCACGGCCAUGGGCCAGCAGCUCCUCCUUUUUCUCCUCUUGCAUUUCGACCUUUUUAUUCUUUUCUUCUCCGCCCAUUUCGCUGCUUCUGCUGUGCUGCUCCACACACACACGACGAUGGACACGGACGAGCAUUGGCUUCUCCUCUGUCAGGAUCCACGUCUCGAUCGUACAGGAGCUGCUAAAAUGGAGUCAAUUGAAAUUUGUUUUUCCGUUUGUCACGCUCCAGCGGAUGAGAGUCUCGACGAGGAAACGUAACACAUUUUGCUCGUCGCUGGAAGAAAAUGUUUGUCAUUGGAGUGUUGGUAGUGGGCGGUUGUUCGUGUGCUACAAUCGUCGUUUGCCCAUAUAAAUGUCGACAUGUUGCCCGUUGCCUCCUUAGUAUUGAGACUUUUGAGCACUGACCAAUUUCAUCCAUUCCGGCGCUCGCCUAUAGCGGCGGAAUAAAUAAUACGCGGAGAAUGUUAGCCUUACCGACAUUGAUCGCCCUCUCCUUUGUGGCCUUUUUCGCCUCUGCAGGCAUAUUGGAAUCAUUUUCACGAGGCAUGCACGCAGCCACGACUUACAAAUUUAUGCGACCGGGUCCUGUGAAGACGGAGCCGACUCCUCCUCCUCCUGCAUCCAUCCCGGACGAGCUGAUCGCCACACCCAUCAAUAAUUACAACGGCGUGAAUGAUGGCCACGACGUCAAUAUCUCGUCGACGAUGAUGCCGACGAUUAGCGGCGUCCUUCAGCGAGUCGAUUUGUGCCACGUUCAAAACAUCGUCGUCCCGUUAUCUCAUCCCGACGGCCAGCCCCAAAAGGAAUUGAUUUUUAAAUCCAUGGAAUUCCCGUUCAAACGCACCAACCCACUCGUCUGCUCGUGGAAUGUCAAGGUGAGCGACAAUUGCCGCCGGGGACUCGUCACGAUGAAGAUAAACGAACGCAGUCGACUGGCCAGUGAGAAAGGCUGCAGGAAAGGAUAUUACCGCGUGUCGCCAUUCAUGAAGGAAGCCAAAAUCUGCGGCCGUAUCAAUAACGUUCCGGCCUUUCAAUGGUACAUUGAGGAUCAGCAGCCGGAAAAUGUGACCAUCACCUUGAAGCACAACGGACUCAAUGACGGGUUCUCUGAAGGAUUGGGUUUUACCCUGUCAGGUGAGUGUCUGCCUGACGAAUCCGACUUGACAAUCAGCAAAGCCAUCAAAUCCUACAAGAAUUGGCUGGACCAAAUCUCCAGGAGAUCAAGGGGUGAACUGACGGUUGUCUUGCCGGACCUUGUUCCAUUGGAGCCCAUCAUCAAGUUAUGGGAAACUCAGCCAAACGUCACCAAAGUCAGCACCCAAUUACCCACAUUCAUUGACGUUCAGCCCAUUUUUAUACGAACGUAAACGCUUCCUUGAAACUCUCACCACGGGGGGGACUACAAAUAACAAAUGAAUAAAAGUUGUGGGAGCGUCACGGACGGACACAAGUGGCAACAGACUCUAUAGGAGGAAGCCCAUUUUUGGGUGAUAUCCCGUCCGGCUGCAUUUACAGUCGACAACUCAUUUG
rnacentral:misc_RNA from 1 species